rnacentral:sRNA from 1 species
CACCGCCUGGGGAGUACGACCGCAAGGUUAAAACUCAAAUGAAUUGACGGGGACCCGCACAAGUAGUGGAGCAUGUGGUUUAAUUCGAAGAUACGCGCAGAACCUUACCAACACUUGACAUGUUCGUCGCGACUUUAAGAGAUUAAAGUUUUCGGUUCGGCCGGACGAAACACAGGUGCUGCAUGGCUGUCGUCAGCUCGUGUCGUGAGAUGUUGGGUUAAGUCCCGCAACGAGCGCAACCCUCACUUUUAGUUGCCAUCAUUAAGUUGGGCACUCUGAAAGAACUGCCAGUGAUAAGCUGGAGGAAGGUGGGGAUGACGUCAAGUCCUCAUGGCCCUUACGUGUUGGGCUACACACGUGCUACAAUGGUAUCUACAACAGGAAGCAAAACGGCGACGUUAAGCAAAUCCUUAAAAGAUACCUCAGUUCGGAUUGCACUCUGCAACUCGAGUGCAUGAAGCUGGAAUUACUAGUAAUCGUGGAUCAGCGUGCCACGGUGAAUGCGUUCCCGGGUCUUGUACACACCGCCCGUCACACCAUGGGAGUUGGUUCUACCUUAAGGCAAGGUUUCAAACCCUUGACCACGGUAUAGUCAGCGACUGGGGUGAAGUCGUAACAAGGUAGCCGUAGGGGAACCUGCGGCUGGAUUACCUCCUUUCUAAGGAUGAGUAAAAAUUUUUUUACUCUAAAUAAUAUACAGGUUAAUGUUGACCGUCCUCAUUUCUCUUCUUAAACAGUGUUUCUCUUGCAUGGGGGCCGGUAGCUCAGUUGGUUAGAGCACACCCUUGAUAAGGGUGGGGUCGAAAGUUCGAGUCUUUCUCGGCCCACCAAUUAAGAUCAUGGGGGAUUAGCUCAGCUGGGAGAGCGCCUGAUUUGCAUUCAGGAGGUCAGCGGUUCGAUCCCGCUAUCCUCCACCAGAAGCACUUAGUUAUAAAAAAUUGUGAAUAUAAAUAAUAAUUAAUAUCAAUAUCUAUAUCCGAACAUUAGUAAUGUUAUUAACUAAUGUUCAAAAUAAAAAUUUGAUUCAACACAGAAUUUUUUUCUG